rnacentral:rRNA from 1 species
GAUGAACGCUGGCGGCGUGCCUAAUACAUGCAAGUCGAGCGAACAGACGAGGAGCUUGCUCCUCUGACUUUAGCGGCGGACGGGUGAGUAACACGUGGAUAACCUACCUAUAAGACUGGGAUAACUUCGGGAAACCGGAGCUAAUACCGGAUAAUAUAUGAAACCGCAUGGUUCAAUAGUGAAAGACGGUUUUGCUGUCACUUAUAGAUGGAUCCGCGCCGCAUUAGCUAGUUGGUAAGGUAACGGCUUACCAAGGCAACGAUGCGUAGCCGACCUGAGAGGGUGAUCGGCCACACUGGAACUGAGACACGGUCCAGACUCCUACGGGAGGCAGCAGUAGGGAAUCUUCCGCAAUGGGCGAAAGCCUGACGGAGCAACGCCGCGUGAGUGAUGAAGGUCUUCGGAUCGUAAAACUCUGUUAUUAGGGAAGAACAAAUGUGUAAGUAACUAUGCACGUCUUGACGGUACCUAAUCAGAAAGCCACGGCUAACUACGUG